rnacentral:rRNA from 1 species
GCUUAUCACCAUUCCAGAUUGAAUAUACCCGAUCUCGUCUGAUCUCGGAAGUUAAGCAAUCUCGGGCUUGGUUAGUACUUGGAAGGGU